AGGGCAGUCUGGUGCCAGCAGCCGCGGUAAUUCCAGCUCUCAAAGUGUAUAUCGUCAUUGCUGCGGUUAAAAAGCUCGUAGUUGGAUCUGCGCUUGAGGACUCGGUCCACCAUUUUGGUGCUGAACUGGGCUCCUCGGCUACAAUUGUGCUGGUUUUCCCUACGUUGCCUUUACCGGUCGCGUAGGGUGGCUAGCGAGUUUACUUUGAAAAAAUUAGAGUGCUUAAAGCGGGCUUUAAGUCUGAAUAUUUGUGCAUGGAAUAAUAGAAUAGGAUCUCGGUUCUAUUUUGUUGGUUUUCUGAUCUGAGAUAAUGGUUAAGAGGGACAGACGGGGGCAUUCGUAUCGCUGCGUGAGAGGUGAAAUUCUUGGACCGUAGCGAGACGCCCGACUGCGAAAGCAUUUGCCAAGAAUGUCUUCAUUAAUCAAGAACGAAAGUCAGAGGUUCGAAGGCGAUCAGAUACCGCCCUAGUUCUGACCGUAAACGAUACCAACUAGCGUUCCGCCGCUGGCAAGCACGCCUUGGCGGGCAGCUUCCCGGAAACGAAAGUUUUUCGGUUCCGGGGGAAGUAUGGUUGCAAAGCUGAAACUUAAAGAAAUUGACGGAAGGGCACCACCAGGAGUGGAGCCUGCGGCUUAAUUUGACUCAACACGGGAAAACUCACCUGGCCCGGACACUGUGAGGAUUGACAGAUUGAUAGCUCUUUCUUGAUUCGGUGGUUGGUGGUGCAUGGCCGUUCUUAGUUGGUGGAGUGAUUUGUCUGGUUUAUUCCGAUAACGAGCGAGACUCUAGCCUACUAAAUAGUUACUGGAUACUUAAGUCCAGCAGACUUCUUAGAGGGACAAGCGGUGUUCAGCCGCACGAAGUUGAGCAAUAACAGGUCUGUGAUGCCCUUAGAUGUCCAGGGCUGCACGCGCGCUACACUGGAGGAAUCAGCGUGCUGUAACCAUUUUCGAAAGGGAUUGGUAACCCCUUGAAAUCCUCCGUGAUCGGGAUCGGGAAUUGCAAUUAUUUCCCUUGAACGAGGAAUUCCUAGUAAGUGUGAGUCAUCAGCUCACGUUGAUUACGUCCCUGCCCUUUGUACACACCGCCCGUCGCUGCCCGGGACUGAGCCGUUUCGAGAAAAGCGGGGACCACCAGCUUCGAAACCUCGCAACAGGUGGAGAUUGUUUGGUGGAAACCGCCUUUAUCGCAGUGGCUUGAACCGGGCAAAAGUCGUAACAAGGUUUCCGUAGGUGAACCUGCGGAAGGAUCAUUACCG
rnacentral:rRNA from 1 species